rnacentral:siRNA from 1 species
UUUGUGGUAAUUUCUUAGUGU